CUAUAUACGCUGACUGAUGGCAUUUACGGUUAACACCAAUAUACAUAAGAAGAUUAAUUUAAUGUGUAUUAAUUUAAUGUGUUACGUGAGAAUGUAUAUGGUGACGACACAUCAGUUUUUGAGAAUCAUUCCUAAGACUACAAACAGUGGUGGAGGCAGCCAAAAUGUUUAAGAGAGUCAAUUUCAUAACAAACAUGUAUUACAUGGGUCAAUUGUCUGAUUUUUUGUAAUAUUCGUUUUUCAGUUUUUCUGUUAAAUACAGGUAAAAAAAUUGUUUUACAUAGAUUUCACCGGGAUCAACUGACCCAUGUGCCUAAGUCUUAGCUUCGCCACUGACAACAAGUUAGUUUUUUUCUCUGAGAACAUUGUGGUGGUGAUAAUACAUCCACUUAUUAUUAAUAUCCACUUAUUAUUAAUAGGAAAGCAAUUUGAAAAAAUAACCUUUAAUUGGUAGAUUAUUUACACUACUACCAUUUUGCUGAUAUGUCAACAUGAUAGUCUUUCUCAGCUUCUUUUUAAAUUAACCCUUUCACAACUAGAAUAACUACUAAGGAAUGACAUUGGUAUGACUCAUUCACAUAAUAAUGUGAUUACAUUACACUAAUACUUUAAAUUCGUAUGGUCAUUUAAUAUUCCGCGUUGACUCUUCCACUACUGAUUAUAAGCUUUUACGAAUUAAAUUAUAAAACCUGUAGAAGAAAUUCAUAAUUAAGCAUUAAAGUACCAGUAUUGAAUCACUAAAUACCUUGACAUUAGACAAAAACAUUUAUACGAAUAGUUGUUUACAGUGACGAUAUGAACAUACUAACCUACAAUACAUUUGUAUGAACAUGCUAACCUACAAUAUAUUCAUACUCCAUUUCUAUGUGAAUCACCUAUAAAGUAUUUAAAUACUUAACCACUCGCGCUUUGCGCGGGAUUAACAUGAUCUAUACUGUUUUUUUUUUCAAAAUUAUUAAUUCGUUUCAUAGUAAAUAUAAUGAAUUUAUACAGUUUCAUAAUUUCUUAUAUAUUGUGUAUAUACCAAAUACAUUGUCUAUACUUCGAAAAUUCCGUAUCCUAUUUUCACUAAUUUUGGCCCAUCAUUUUUGUUCUCAUAAUGAUAUGGACCGUAUAUUAUCAGUCACGUAUGUGAAAAGUGAUUCACUCAUUUUUGUUCCAUCAUUGUUGCUCCUUUGGGGAUUCACUCCUUUUGCUUGAAGUAGUGAAGAUUUAGAAAUCGAUAUCUCUAGUGUAUAUCUUAUAUAUAUAAAGUAGGCUUGUGCUCUGCGCAAAGCCCUCCAACUCAUCUACUAGCAUAGGGCAAAUUAAGCCACGUGGCAGCUAUAAAAACAUCGAACUAAAGUUUUUGUUUCUUUAUAUGUGUUGGGCUUUCUAUUACUACUUCCGAUUGGGCUUUUAGAAAACAUUAGGUCAAGUCCGGUUAGAUCAAGCCCGGUGAAGUAUUAGGUUUCUUCAUCUUUUCACCUUCAACCUUCGUCGAUUACCAGACGAAAGUUCCAGAAAACUAAAGCGCCCAUCAAUUCACCGUAACGUCUCAACCUUGCAUUAAUACGUCUCAACCUUGCAUUAAUAUGUACUUGAAUCCGAGGUUUUAUGUUCUUAACCCACUCCUCUCACUGUGAAGCAUUCAAUCGAUCUCAUCGGUUCCCAACGUAACCGAUUGAAGCUACGAGUAUAAAUAUCUCAUCUUCCAGCGAUGAACAACACGACUUCAAGGAAAGAAGGAGAUGAAGAAAUCCAUCUUCGAGCUCGCAAGAAUCUUCAACGGAUUCUUUCUGAUUGCUCAUGUUAAACUCUAGCUCCGUUGAUUUGUUUGUAGAUUGUAUCUGAGGGACAGCAGAGUGUCUGAGAGGAGAGAACUAAAGGUGGUGAUGAGGUCGGAGCUUCGUGGCCUUUGGAUUGGAGAUUCUCUCAGGUAUUUGGUGAAGGCAUCACAGACAAAGAAGUUGAAGAAGGUAUCACCUCAUCGAUUCACUUUCCUGUAUUUUUUCAUGCAUCUUUGUUUCUACUCAAGCCACCCCUGGUUCUAGAUUUAUUAGGAUUUUUGAAUUGCAAGGUUGAAUUUUGUGGGUCGUUGUGAAAUUUUGGUCUUUGUUCGAAAUUUGUAGGUUUCAUUGGUGUUUUGUGGUUUCUUUUUUCAUAAAAAAUUAUUUUAUUGUUAGUGUUUUAUGUUUGCAUGUUUAUGCUCUGUGAUUACCUAGCUAAGCAAAUUUUGUUAAACUUUUAAAAAGCAUUGAUGUAUGUGGAGGGAAGAGGUUUGCUUCAUACCUUUCUGCUUUGUCAUGCAGUAAGUGUAUAUAUCUUCUGGGGAUAUGGUGGUUUUGAACUUGUCCGAUAGCCAUGGUGGUUAUGGUGUCUUAGUGUUUGUAAUUCUGCAUGUGGUAAAGGAGCCAACUUAAUUAAAAGUAACGGUCAACGCUUAAAUUUCGUUUUGGGGAAGGGUCCGGGAAAUCUGUACCAUCCACUACGUACAUAGCAUGCCUUGGGCCAUUAUUCAACAAUACUCUUUCGGCCUGCAUUUUGAUGACAUUUUAGUUUUUAUAGAUAACAGGUGUUAUUGUGAGCUGAAUGCAUUGACAGUGAAACAUGGGUCAAGUUGUAUCCUCUCCCAGAAAUCUUAACCAGUUUGCUAACUCACACUUUCUUUUUUUUGGUGUAACGUACACGACACCCCGGACAUUCAACGCGUCUUCCUCUUUUCUGAGAGGAUCCGCUUUCUAAGCAUAACACUGCACCAUAAACGAAAGCACGAGUCUUAACGGUGACUAUGACAUCCGAUCUAAGAAUAGAGUUUGCCGUCGAACGCAUGGAGAGACUAAGAAGAGCGGACGUUGUUGCCGCAGGUGCCUUCAAUGGUGAUGAAAUAGUCGAUAUAGAAGAAGAGCAUGAUGAUUUCUUCUAUGAUUCUAAAAGCGACCAACUCCAUUUUGUAAUAAUGAAAAAGGUCUGAUCACUUUACAGUUCCAUAUUAUAAAUUGACCAACGACAUCAUGAUGGACAAACCCAGUACUUCGACCUUAUAUAUUUACAACAAUAUUUAUAUGUAACUGAGAGCACUAUAAUUUUAAUUUUGUAUCUAAGUUAAAACAAUAAGAGUUCAUUGAUAUAUA